rnacentral:rRNA from 1 species
GCCUAAAGCGUCCGUAGCCGGCUCUGUAAGUUUUCGGUUAAAUCCAUAUGCUCAACAUAUGGGCCGCCGGGAAUACUGCAUAGCUAGGGAGUGGGAGAGGUAGACGGUACUCCGUAGGAAGGGGUAAAAUCCUUUGAUCUAUGGAUGACCACCUGUGGCGAAGGCGGUCUACCAGAACACGUUCGACGGUGAGGGAUGAAAGCUGGGGGAGCAAACCGGAUUAGAUACCCGGGUAGUCCCAGCUGUAAACUAUGCAAACUCAGUGAUGCAUUGGCUUGUGGCCAGUGCAGUGCCGCAGAGAAGUCGUUAAGUUUGCCGCCUGGGAAGUACGUACGCAAGUAUGAAACUUAAAGGAAUUGGCGGGGGAGCACCACAAGGGGUGAAGCCUGCGGUUCAAUUGGAGUCAACGCCAGAAAUCUUACCCGGAGAGACAGCAGAAUGAAGGUCAGGCUGAAGACUUUACCAGACAAGCUGAGAAGUGGUGCAUGGCCGUCGCCAGCUCGUGCCGUGAGGUGUCCUGUUAAGUCAGGUAACGAGCGAGAUCCUUGCCUCUAGUUGCUACCAUUACUCUCAGGAGUUGUGGGGCGAAUUAGCGGGACUGCCGUAGUUAAUACGGAGGAAGGAGAGGGCCACGGCAGGUCAGUAUGCCCCGAA